GACAGAGGCCUCAAGCGUUAGGCGGAAUCACUGGGCUUAAAGCGUGUGUAGGCGGACUUCUAAGUGCCUUGUGAAAUCCCACGGCUCGACCGUGGAACUGCUGGGCAUACUGGGAGUCUUGGGCCAUUCAGGGGCGACUGGAACAAGCGGUGGAGCGGUGAAAUGCGUAGAUAUCGCUUGGAACGCCGAAGGUGAAAACAGGUUGCUGGGGAUGUGCCGACGCUGAGACACGAAAGCCAGGGGAGCAAACGGG
rnacentral:rRNA from 1 species